UAUGUCUCCGUACGGGGAAGGAUGAGAAGCUUCGACUAAGGUUCGAUUCGAGCGAAAGCGAGAGAACGUUGCCAACGGCAACGGCCCGAAGGGCGAAGCGCGCAGCGCGCAGCGCUGAGUCAUCCUUCCCCCACCACCA
rnacentral:sRNA from 2 species